AUUAUUAGCUGGUUUACUGAUCUGUCUUUCAUCAUAGAUUCCAAAUUCUGUUGGAUUCUUUUAACUAUUGUUAACCAAUAAAUUGUAUGUUGUGGAUAGUCGAUGAACUUGGAAUAAAAGAUUUCUUUUUCCUUCCAGUUUGUUGUAGCAGUGUUCUGGAUCAUUUAUGCUUAUGACAGAGAGAUGAUAUACCCGAAGCUGCUGGAUAAUUUUAUCCCAGGGUGGCUGAAUCACGGAAUGUUUAACCCAAAAAGGGCCACUUCAUUUCCUUAGGCUGCACUUCUAAUGAAUGCAGACAUUUGAAAGGGGCCUGAACCGGAUAACCUUUCGAGUUUUCUCCAGUUUUAUUAUUCUGUGAAGACAGUUUGGUGUAAAUGAUUUAAGAGCAUUUCAAAGCUUAAAGUUUUCUUGGCACGCUUUUCAAACGCCCAUCUGACUUUGAGGCAGGCUGCCUCUCCACAGAAAUCUUGCUCCAGCAAUGACUAAAGGAUUGACCUGGUGCCAUGCAUGCUGCUCUGCACAAGAAGGGCAUUUGGAAAUGACCUUGAAGCGAAGUUUUGCCAAGUUGAUGA
rnacentral:sRNA from 1 species